rnacentral:rRNA from 1 species
UACGUAGAAGACUAGUGUUAUUCAUCUUUAGUAGGUUUAAAGGGUACCUAGACGGUAUAAUUAGUCUUAAAUAGGAUACGGUUAUACUAGAGUUAUAUAUGAGAAGGGGAGUAUUUGUGGGAGUAGAAUGUUGUAAAUUCUUUGAUACCAUGAGGACUAGGGUAAACCGGUCGAAAACAACCUUUUAUCUAAUAACUGGACGUUAGAGGGACGAAGGGCUACGGGUAGCGGAACAUG